rnacentral:ribozyme from 1 species
GCCACUCAAAAGUGUUACCUCUACGUGGUGAGUGGCAGGCAACGGAUUAUACUCCGGCUAAAGCAUAU